rnacentral:rRNA from 1 species
CACGUAGGGACCGAGCGUUGUCCGGAUUCAUUGGGCGUAAAGAGCUCGUAGGCGGUCGGGUAAGUCGGGUGUGAAAUCUCCGGGCUCAACUCGGAGGGGCCACCCGAUACUGCACGACUCGAGUCCGGUAGGGGAGUGGGGAAUUCCUGGUGUAGCGGUGAAAUGCGCAGAUAUCAGGAGGAACACCGGUGGCGAAGGCGCCACUCUGGGCCGGUGCUGACGCUGAGGAGCGAAAGCGUGGGUAGCAAACAGG